rnacentral:lncRNA from 1 species
GCUGCGCAGACACGUGGGGCAAAGGGGCGUGGCGGCAUUGCGGCUUUGGGGGUGUGGCCAGAGACGUCACCUACUUGACUGGAGUGGGCAGCGCGUCAUGACCGUCCCAACGCCUAAGCAGCUGAUGCUGCGACGCGGUGACACUCAAAGAAGGACAUGGUAAUUUCCAGAGUCUAACUUGCUUCUGAUGAACUAAGGGAAUGAGUGGACUCCCCAACAGCCUGAGAGGCUCCCCUGCACCUGCAAGGACUGCAACAGAGAAAUGAGAGAAGAUACCGGUUUCCACUGUGUUUAUUACUAAUAUAAAAAAAAGUUAAAAAGAAAAAAAAAUCAUUCUUAGUUCUCCAACA